rnacentral:rRNA from 1 species
GACCAUAUAAACUAAUGCACCGGAUCCCAAUAGAACUCCGGAGUUAAGUGUGUUUGGAUGAGAGUAGUACUAGGAUGGGUGGCCUCCUAGGAAGUCCUUGGGUUGCACCCC